AUUGAACGCUGGCGGCAGGCCUAACACAUGCAAGUCGAACGAGUGGCGGACGGGUGAGUAAUGUCUGGGAAACUGCCUGAUGGAGGGGGAUAACUACUGGAAACGGUAGCUAAUACCGCAUACCAUCAGAUGUGCCCCGAUGGGAUUAGCUAGUUGGUGGGUUAACGGCUCACCAAGGCGACGAUCCCUAGCUGGUCUGAGCGGAUGACCAUCAACACGUGAACUGAGAAACGGUCCAGACUCCUACGGGAGGAAGCAGGGGGGAAUAUUGCACAAUGGGCGCAAGCCUGAUGCAGCCAGGCCGCGUGGAUGAAGAAGGCCUUCGGGUUGUAAAGUACUUUCAGCGGGGAGGCGUUACCCGCAGAAGAAGCACCGGCUAACUCCGUGCCAGCAGCCGCGGUAAUAC
rnacentral:rRNA from 1 species